UAGGGAAUCUUCCGCAAUGGACGACAGUCUGACCGAGCAACGCCGCGUGAGUGAAGAAGGUUUUCGGAUCGUAAAACUCUGUUGUUAGAGAAGAACAAGGACGUUAGUAACUGAACGUCCCCUGACGGUAUCUAACCAGAAAGCCACGGCUAACUCCGUGCCAGCAGCCGCGGUAAUACGUAGGUGGCAAGCGUUGUCCGGAUUUAUUGGGCGUAAAGCGAGCGCAGGCGGUUUCUUAAGUCUGAUGUGAAAGCCCCCGGCUCAACCGGGGAGGGUCAUUGGAAACGGGGAGACUUGAGUGCAGAAGGGGAGAGUGGAAUUCCAUGGGUAGCGGUGAAAUGCGAAGAUAUAGGGAGGAACACCAGUGGCGAAGGGGGCUCUCUGGUCUGUAACUGACGCUGAGGCUCGAAAGCGUGGGGAGCAAACAGG
rnacentral:rRNA from 1 species